UAGAGCGCACGCCUGAUAAGCGUGAGGUCGAUGGUUCGAGUCCAUUUAGGCCCA
rfam:Lactobacillus vaccinostercus DSM 20634 NODE_102, whole genome shotgun sequence.